GUGCUCGCUUCGGCAGCACGUAUACUAAAAUAGCAACUAUAUGCAGAUUAGCAUGGCCCCUGCACAAGGGUGACACGCAAAUGAGGGAAACGGUCCAUAUUUGG
rnacentral:snRNA from 1 species